rnacentral:lncRNA from 1 species
ACACCAUUGUUAUAAAUUGAAACAUCAGGCAUGAGUUCGAAGUCCUUGGCGGAGAACCUUUGUUUGGCUAGCUUUACACCAUUGUCAUAAAUAGAAACAUCAGGCAUGAGCUCGAAGUCCUUGGCGAAGAACUUUUGUUUGGUUGGCUUAAUACCGUUGUCGUAAAUUGAAACAUCAGGCAAGAACUCGAAGUGCUUGGCAAAAGCCUUUUGUUUGGUUGGCUUAAUACCGUUGUCGUAAAUUGAAACAUCAGGCAUGAGCUCGAAGUUCUUGGCGAAGGAUCUCUGCUUAUCCUUUGGUUUAAUACCGUUGUCAUAAAUUGAAACAUCAGGCAUUAGCUCGAGGUCCUUGACAAAAGCCUUUUGUUUCGUCAGCUUAACGCCGUUGUCAUAGAUUGAAACAUCAGGCAUCAGCUCAAAGUUCUUAUUGAAAAAAGGCUUCUCCA